ACUGCUCUAUCAAAAGAAAGGUUAAACACUGUGAGUUGAACACACACAUCACAAAGUAGUUUCUGAGAAUGAUUCUGUCUAGUUUUUAUACGAAGAUAUUUCCUUUCUACCAUUGGUCUCAAAUCUCUUGAAAUCUCCACUUGCAAAUUCCACAAAAAGAGUGUUUCAAAUCUGCUCUGUCUAAAGGAAGGUUCAACUCUGUGAGUUGAAUACACAAAACGCAAAGCAGUUACUGAGAAUUCUUCUGUCUAGCAUUAUAUGAAGAAAUCCCAUUUCCAACGAAGGCCUCAAAGAGGUCAAAAUA
rnacentral:lncRNA from 1 species